rnacentral:rRNA from 1 species
AUUGAACGCUGGCGGCAUGCUUUACACAUGCAAGUCGAACGGCAGCGCGGGCUUCGGCCUGGCGGCGAGUGGCGAACGGGUGAGUAAUACAUCGGAACGUGCCCAGUAGUGGGGGAUAGCUCGGCGAAAGCCGGAUUAAUACCGCAUACGACCUGAGGGUGAAAGCGGGGGAUCUUCGGACCUCGCGCUAUUGGAGCGGCCGAUGGCAGAUUAGCUAGUUGGUGGGGUAAAGGCCUACCAAGGCGACGAUCUGUAGCUGGUCUGAGAGGACGACCAGCCACACUGGGACUGAGACACGGCCCAGACUCCUACGGGAGGCAGCAGCGGGGAAUUUUGGACAAUGGGGGAAAGCCUGAUCCAGCAAUGCCGCGUGUGUGAUGAAGGCCUUCGGGUUGUAAAGCACUUUUGGCGGGAACGAAAAGGACUGUGCCAAUACCACGGUUCGAUGACGGUACCCGCAGAAUAAGCACCGGCUAACUACGUG